rnacentral:rRNA from 1 species
UGGGGAAUAUUGGGCAAUGGGCGCAAGCCUGACCCAGCAACGCCGCGUGAGGGAAGAAGGUUUUCGGAUCGUAAACCUCUGUUGUAGGGGACGAGGAAAAGACGGUACCCUACGAGGAAGCUCCGGCUAACUACGUGCCAGCAGCCGCGGUAAUACGUAGGGAGCGAGCGUUGUCCGGAAUGACUGGGCGUAAAGGGCGCGUAGGCGGUUUUGUAAGUCUGGAGUGAAACCCCCGUUUUCAAGGCGGGGCCUGCUUUGGAGACUGCAGGACUUGAGUGAUGGAGAGGAUAGCGGAAUUCCCGGUGUAGCGGUGAAAUGCGUAGAGAUCGGGAGGAACACCAGUGGCGAAGGCGGCUAUCUGGACAUAGACUGACGCUGAGGCGCGAAAGCGUGGGGAGCAAACAGGAUUAGAUACCCUGGUAGU